rnacentral:rRNA from 1 species
GACGUAGGGGACGAGCGUUGUCCGGAUUUAUUGGGCGUAAAGCGCGCGUAGGCGGCUGGGAAAGUCGGAUGUGAAAAUCCGGGGCUCAACCCCCGGACCUGCAUCCGAAACUUCCCGGCUAGAGGUAGGUAGGGGUGUGUGGAACUUCCGGUGGAGCGGUGAAAUGCGUUGAUAUCGGAAGGAACGCCGGUGGCGAAAGCGGUUCUCUGGGCCUUACCUGACGCUGAGGAGCGAAAGCGUGGGGAGCGAACAGG